UACGUAGGGUGCAAGCGUUGUCCGGAUUUAUUGGGCGUAAAGAGCGUGUAGGCGGCCGUGUAGGUCCGUUGUGAAAACUCGAGGCUCAACCUCGAGACGUCGAUGGAAACCACACGGCUAGAGUCCGGAAGAGGAGAGUGGAAUUCCUGGUGUAGCGGUGAAAUGCGCAGAUAUCAGGAAGAACACCUAUGGCGAAGGCAGCUCUCUGGGACGGUACUGACGCUGAGACGCGAAAGCGUGGGGAGCGAACAGG
rnacentral:rRNA from 1 species